CCAAAUAAAACAUGCAGGUUACACACGUAGACAUGCAUCUAGAUGGGGAAGAAUAUAAAAAAAAGGCAACGAAAUCGGAUUUACUAAUUUUGGGAAUAAUAUUAUUAACACGCAGGAUUUACCUCCAACCAAUUCAUGUGCGUUUUUUUUCCACCUUCAUCCCUUUUCAGUUGGAUUCCUCUCUUUGUAAUUUCGGCUUCGGAAGAGAAAAGAAAGCAACGACGGAAGCAGAAUCUCGUGUUCAUAGAUUCAAGUGGGCUUGACGUAUACGGAUAUAUACAUAUAUAUAUAUAAAAGAGAAGAAUAUCUGCCAUUAUAAAAAGAAGAAGAAAAAUGGAAGGAGGGCAGGAAGAGGGGAUGAUGGAGAUAAAAAGGAAACUGAAGGGGAUGAAGAUAAUAAAGAGGGAGGGGAAGAGCGACGAGGAAGACGCGAAAAGGCAAGAGGCAUACAACAUGUCUCCGCGAGCAGGAGGAGGUCCCUCCAACGUGAUGAUGAUGGGCAAGUCAUCGAGCGGGAGGUUCAAUUGCCUAUGCGCACCCACCACCCACCCCGGCUCUUUCAGGUGCCGCUACCACCGACGACGCGGCAACUCCACCCGCUUGCCGCGUGGCGUCUCUGUCCCCACCAACUUGUCCAUGAUCAUGGCUUCCUCCAAAUCCGGUGGCAUAGUAGAAUCCUCCAAUGAAUGAGUUGUUCCUUCUUUUUCCACAACUUGUGUACAUAAAGGCACGAAUAAUUGAAACAUGAAAGCAUCUUCCUAUGUUCAACGAGGCUUAAGAUCUCCCUAAGAUUAUUAUAGACAUUUUUCGAAUUCGAGUCUCACAAGGAGCAUUAGGAAAUGUGUUCAAACAGGAAACGAUCUCGAAACGUUGAGUUUGAGCACAGGAACCGAAUCCUGCAACGUGGAGAAUCUCCUCUUUGUCUCUUACCAAUACUCCGAAACCAUGGGAGUUGUGACAAUGCCGCCAAGAUCAACCGUGCCUGACCACGAGAAAGUAUUUCGCCACAUCCACAUUUGGGAGUAAUUCAAAUCCAAGUUAUGGAAACAUUUCGUGCCCCACAAUGUGGAGCAUGAAGCACGAAAUAAACUGAAAAGGGCUCACCCUUUCCACUUCAAGGAUGAACUUAGAGUCUUAGAGAGACUAGACGAAGGUGGAACUCAAUCUACAAGGGCGUGCAAAAUGACAAAAAGUUGUCAGGAAUCCAAUAAUAAACAAAAACGACAGAGGCUCCAGAAACCAAAACCAAAGUUA